rnacentral:rRNA from 1 species
AGUGGAUGGGGAGCAACCUAGUUGUGCGUGUGUAAAGGUAGUGCCAAGAAAAGCGAUGAUCAUGUUGAAAAUCAAUUCCCGGUACCCGAAACCGACACAGGUGGGCAAGUAGAGAAUACUAAGGGGCGCGAGGUAACUCUCUCCAAGGAACUCGGCAAAAUGACCCCGUAACUUAGGGAGAAGGGGUGCCACCGAGAGGUGGUCGCAGUGAAGAGGCCCAGGCGACUGUUUAGCAAAAACAUAGGUCUCUGCAAACUCGAAAGAGGAGGUAUAGGGGCUGACGCCUGCCCAGUGCCGGAAGGUUAAAGAAGUUGGUCAGUCUUAGGAUGAAGCUAGCGACUGAAGCCCCGGUGAACGGCGGCCGUAACUAUAACGGUCCUAAGGUAGCGAAAUUCCUUGUCGGGUAAGUUCCGACCCGCACGAAAGGCGUAACGAUCUGGGCGCUGUCUCGGAGAGAGGCUCGGCGAAAUAGGAUUGUCUGUGAAGAUACGGACUACCUGCAUUUGGACAGAAAGACCCUAUGAAGCUUUACUAUAGCUUGGAAUUGUGUUCGGGCUUCCUGUGCGCAGGAUAGGUGGGAGGCGUAGAAGGUAUUCUUGUGGGGAUACUGGAGCCAACGGUGAGAUACCACUCUCAGGAGGCUAGAAUUCUAACUUAAUUAAGGACAGUUUCAGGUGGGUAGUUUGACUGGGGCGGUCGCCUCCAAAAAGGUAACGGAGGCGUACAAAGGUUCCCUCAGACUGGUUGGAAAUCAGUCGAAGAGUGCAAAGGCAGAAGGGAGCUUGACUGCGAGAAGUACAGUUCGAGCAGGGUGGAAACACGGUCUUAGUGAUCCGACGGUGCUGUGUGGAAGGGCCGUCGCUCAACGGAUAAAAGUUACUCUAGGAUAACAGGCUGAUCUCCCCCAAGAGUUCACAUCGACGGGGAGGUUUGGCACCUCGAUGUCGGCUCAUCGCAACCUGGGGCGGAAGUACGUCCCAAGGGUUGGGCUGUUCGCCCAUUAAAGCGGUACGUGAGCUGGGUUCAGAACGUCGUGAGACAGUUCGGUCCAUAUCCGAUGUAGGCGUGAGAAUAUUGAGAGGAGCCUUCCUUAGUACGAGAGGACCGGGAAGGACGCACCGCUGGUGUACCUGUUAUGAUGCCAAUUGUAAACGCAGGGUAGCCAAGUGCGGAGAGGAUAACCGCUGAAAGCAUCUAAGUGGGGAGCCCACCUCAAGAUGAGUAUUCUGGUGUAAGGUCACGGGAAGACGACCCGUAAAUAGGCACGAGGUGGAAGUGCAGAGAUGUAUGAAGCCGAAGUGUACUAAUAGACCGUCGGCUUGACC